rfam:Raoultella ornithinolytica strain S12, complete genome.
CACCGACAUCAGCGAUUCGUUCUGCGAGCCGUUGCCGACCGCAAGGUAGGAGUUCAUUCCCAGCUCGCGCAUCUGCUGCUCGCCGAUCACGCGGGUGACGACGUUUUUGCUCCAGGUAUCCGCCAGCUGGCGCGCCUGAGAGGCGAGAUAGGCCGCGUUGCAGAUAUUCGGCGGCAUGUUGCCAAGAUCUUUUGC